AACGAACGCUGGCGGCAGGCUUAACACAUGCAAGUCGAACGCAUCCUUCGGGGUGAGUGGCAGACGGGUGAGUAACGCGUGGGAACGUGCCCUUCAGUUCGGGAUAACCCAGGGAAACUUGGGCGAAUACCGGAUACGUGCGAGAGCAGAAAGAUUUAUCGCUGAAGGAUCGACCCGCGUCUGAUUAGCUAGUUGGUGGGGUAAUGGCCCACCAAGGCGACGAUCAGUAGCUGGUCUGAGAGGAUGAUCAGCCACAUUGGGACUGAGACACGGCCCAAACUCCUACGGGAGGCAGCAGUGGGGAAUAUUGGACAAUGGGCGCAAGCCUGAUCCAGCCAUGCCGCGUGAGUGAUGAAGGCCUUAGGGUUGUAAAGCUCUUUCGUCCGGGACGAUAAUGACGGUACCGGAAGAAGAAGCCCCGGCUAACUUCGUGCCAGCCGCCGCCGUAA
rnacentral:rRNA from 1 species